CUUAUUUAAUUAGAUUACACAGCUUUCAGCCUUGAUUGCCUGUGUUCUCCGUGUAAUUGUCAACAUGUCUCCCGUCUUGAAGGAACAUUAGCUUCUUAAACAAGAACCGUAUCAGAGGAGGGGGUGGAUCCGCCAAUGUCCCCACAACUUUCAAACUCAAACACAUUCAAGCACCCAAGAAGCUCAGCAGAGAAAGGACCCAUCGAAGUCUGAUUCUGAGGUCCAUUGUGGGGCCCUCUGUCCCUCAGGAGCUAGCUUGAGAAAGUGAUUGUCCACUAUCUGGUCCCUUGGCUCCUACUGAAACAGCCAGAGCACACAUAUCGUCUGCUUCGGCUGGAAUAGGUAGGAGACGUACAUCGAAUUUGGAGAAUCUAGCAAGCACUGUGAGAGAUUGCUUGCUUAGAUUGGAAGAGCAAAUGAAUUGGGAUAAGGAGGAACUUCUUGCUCACAUCCUGGGAGGAGGCAGCAGGGCAGCCUGAAAACCUUUCUCCGAAUCAGAGUUUUCUCCAAACUCUGACUCUGUGGCUGGAGCAGACUCUUAAGUGCUGAGUGUCACUUAUCCAGAUGGUAUAGAAUUAUGUGCCGUCCCCCACCCCACUCCCAUCACCCCUACUCAGUUUGAGGGCAGGAUCCAGGAUUUCCCUCCUUACCACCAGACUCCUUCUCAUUUUGUCCUUCACUGCUAUUUCUCCUCCUGGUCCUGCUCUGUCAGUAUCCUCUACCCUCCACACUUCCCCUCCUCCCGCAGGUUAUUCCAGUUCCGCACCACACCUCUGCCACCAAGAUCUGACAGCCAAAACCCACCAUAUGACGGGUAGGCUGAAACAAAAAAAUU